rnacentral:rRNA from 1 species
UUCGAUUCUGGCUCAGAACGAACGCUGGUGGCGUGUCUAUACAUGCAAGCGAGCGAGGCAGCAAUGCCGAGCGGCGAACGGGUGAGUAACGCGUAAGCAAUCUGCCCCAUAUCAGGAAAUACCCGUGCCAACGCGCGGUUAAUGUCCAGGAGAGUGGCUCCUUGCAUGAGGAGUUGACUAGAGAUUUAUCGGUAUGGGAUGAGCUUGCGUCCGAUUAGCUAGUUGGCGGGGCAACGGCCCACCAAGGCGACGAUCGGUAGCCGGCCUGAGAGGGUGAUCGGCCACAUUGGGACUGAGAUACGGCCCAGACUCCUACGGGAGGCAGCAGUAGGGAAUAUUGCACAAUGGGGGAAACCCUGAUGCAGCAACGCCACGUGUGGGGAAGAAGCAUUUCGGUGUGUAAACCACUGUCAUGAGGGAAUAAGGCCCUUAUUCGUAAGGGAUUGAAUGUACCUUGAGAGGAAGCACCGGCAAACUUCGUGCCAGCCGCUGC